AAACUUCUGAGUUCUGACACUUUAUAUGCAAACAUUUAGUUGAGGCCAAGUUGUUGGAAGAGAAAGUUAAUUCUUAGGAAUUAAAGUGCUGACAGAUACUAAGCAACAAAACUCCAAAACAAGGCUUCCAGCCAGAAAGAUGAUUUGCCGUCGUACCAUCCAAGAAUUACCCUUCUUUUCCUCUUAUAGUGUUUGGCAGGAGUGAGUUGAGCCCUCUGCUUUGAAAGAGGACCUAUUCUCCACAAACCCCAAACAAUGCAACUCCUGCAAGCUGACCACUCCCAUUUGAUUGCAAAAUAGAUGAAGUUGAGGAGGGUGAGCAGUGCUCUUUAUAAACCAGGGAGAUGACAUUCUCCAGCACAACUUCAGUGAAGAACUAAGCAUCCCAACAUCAUUAAAUCAAUCCGAAGUCUGAAAGUCUAAGAGCCAGACCUGCAGAAGACAGGGAGUGAAAUUCAAGGAGUUUAGGUGCUGAUGUUCCUGUGAUUAUUCUCCUAAGGCUUCCUCUGGUGGAAAAGGACAAGAGGAAAUAAGACACCAGGGAAGCUAAUGUGAGACAGCAGUGCCCAAAACACUUUAAAGGCGACUGAUUUGGCCAACGAGACAGGGUCUACUGCAGGUAGGAUUCACGGAUUGCCUUGGAUUUCAACUUGGAUUUUGCCUUUGGAUUUCAAACCUACAUCUUGCAUCUCCACUCCCUUCAUCACAGAGAAAAUCACUGUAGGGCUGCUGGUAACCAGAUGACAGCUGUGGAGGCUGCACAGGCAUGGGAUGACACCACUGGGAGAGCUGAGAGGUGUAAGUGG
rnacentral:lncRNA from 1 species